rnacentral:sRNA from 1 species
CACAAUGGUAACACCCUGCCGUCGGCUC